AACCUCAAGUACCGUUUGCCUUAGCAAACAAUCAGAAACAAUGUUCCUGCCACCUCUCUGGUGCUGCAUUUACAGUCUUGAAUGCAACACUGUCAGUGCUUUCAGUGUUGCUUCAGCACAAGGCUUGCUCCACUAGCAGGACCCUGGCCACUUCACCUGGGCAACUAAAUGAGGAGCAAGGCUUCGCUUCUUUUUCUAAAAAUACAAUCAAUGGAGAAAAGCAGGCAUAUUCAGAGUGAUUCAACUCAAGUACUACCUGACUUGUCCUGACUCCUCCACUUCUAUCAAAGCAGGAGCUUUCACCAGCUAUAUUCCUAUGAGGCUUCUGUAUCAAGCUCCAAAGUUCAGCAGAAUGAAUCUAGGCAUGUACCUGAGGUCAGGUGGAAAGGAUUACUUUUCAAAUGUCUGGAGCAGCAGAGCCUGGGCUUUUAUUAAUAAUGGAAGAGGACAAAGGAAGUAAUCUUCACAAGAUCAGCAUACUGCCUUCCAGGUGUUUUGAGGGAGCGCUGACUUUGGACCAGUCCAGUGUGAAGACAAGCAGAACUGGAACUGGAAGACAAAGCAUCACCCAUGCUGGCUUAAAGAGGCCAGAAAUAAUCCAGGCAUUCUAGUUCAGAAAUAACACCUUGUUAAGAAGGUAAAUGGCAAUCAAGCACAUGUGCUUUGUGAAAACCUCUGGAUCUAAAACAGGCAAGAAAGCAGCACUGUGUGCUGCUGCUGAAUACCUUGACUACUUCCAAGAUGAGAUGAGCCUCAUGGAAGAGGUGCUGGCCAGAGUGAGAACUGCUGGCCAAUCAGCAUCAACAUCAUGCCUUACUGAAGGCCAACAACACCGUCCCUAAUUACAUUCACCUAAAAUGUUUGUAAAGUCAAAUUAUGUCCCUUUUCUGUCUCAAAUGCAGGAAUGCAAUAAGUAAAAAGGUUGU
ensembl:lncRNA